rnacentral:rRNA from 1 species
UGCAGUCGAGGGGUAUAGGUUUUCGGACCUAGAGACCGGCGCACGGGUGCGUAACGCGUAUGCAAUCUACCUUUUACAGCGGGAUAGCCCAGAGAAAUUUGGAUUAAUACCGCAUAGUAUAGCAGUUUCGCAUGAAACCACUAUUAAAGUCACAACGGUAAAAGAUGAGCAUGCGUCCCAUUAGUUAGUUGGUAAGGUAACGGCUUACCAAGACUACGAUGGGUAGGGGUCCUGAGAGGGAGAUCCCCCACACUGGUACUGAGACACGGACCAGACUCCUACGGGAGGCAGCAGUGAGGAAUAUUGGACAAUGGGCGCAAGCCUGAUCCAGCCAUGCCGCGUGCAGGAUGACGGUCCUAUGGAUUGUAAACUGCUUUUAUACGAGAAGAAACACUACUUCGUGAAGUAGCUUGACGGUAUCGUAAGAAUAAGGAUCGGCUAACUCCGUGCCAGCAGCCGCGGUAAUACGGAGGAUCCAAGCGUUAUCCGGAAUCAUUGGGUUUAAAGGGUCCGUAGGCGGUUUAGUAAGUCAGUGGUGAAAGCCCAUCGCUCAACGGUGGAACGGCCAUUGAUACUGCUAGACUUGAAUUAUUAGGAAGUAACUAGAAUAUGUAGUGUAGCGGUGAAAUGCUUAGAGAUUACAUGGAAUACCAAUUGCGAAGGCAGGUUACUACUAAUGGAUUGACGCUGAUGGACGAAAGCGUGGGUAGCGAACAGGAUUAGAUACCCUGGUAGUCCACGCCGUAAACGAUGGAUACUAGCUGUUGGGCGCAAGUUCAGUGGCUAAGCGAAAGUGAUAAGUAUCCCACCUGGGGAGUACGUUCGCAAGAAUGAAACUCAAAGGAAUUGACGGGGGCCCGCACAAGCGGUGGAGCAUGUGGUUUAAUUCGAUGAUACGCGAGGAACCUUACCAAGGCUUAAAUGUAGAUUGACCGGUUUGGAAACAGACUUUUCGCAAGACAAUUUACAAGGUGCUGCAUGGUUGUCGUCAGCUCGUGCCGUGAGGUGUCAGGUUAAGUCCUAUAACGAGCGCAACCCCUGUUGUUAGUUGCCAGCGAGUCAUGUCGGGAACUCUAACAAGACUGCCAGUGCAAACUGUGAGGAAGGUGGGGAUGACGUCAAAUCAUCACGGCCCUUACG